rnacentral:lncRNA from 1 species
UUAUAAAUGACUCCAUGAUAGAUGGUUUUAUUAUGCGUAUAGCUAGUGUUCAGUAAAAUGUAUAAGUAUGUUUUCUCUGUAUCCUUUUUAAAUGAAUGAAUGGGUGAUAUAUGCCUAUUUAUCCCUACUGGGUGCCUGCAAAUCCUAUAGAUAAUGAUUAUGCAAAGUGAUUAGUAUUUAGGGAGAAGCAACAUAAACUAUAGGUUAAUGUCCAGCAUCCUUUCUGUGGCCAGAUUUCUUUAAGUUUGAAAUUAUGAUCUACCACAUCCCAGCUCUGUGACAUUGGGCAAAUUAGUAAACCUCUUUGCCUCUGCUUCCCUUUCUGUAAAAUAUGGAUAGAUAAUAGUAUCUACCUCAUAAGAUAAUUGUUCAAAAUGAGCAAUUUAAUGUAAGUAAAAUACAAUGCCUUUCAUGUAUUUAGCGACAUAAAAGACUUAACUAAUUUUUACAAUGAUUUUAAAGUCAGUGGUAUUUCCCUCAUUUGAGUAAUUAAGAGAGAUUAACAGACUGGUCCAUUAUUGUUUAGUAAACAUGCCAGUAUUAAAACCAGAUAGUACUAACCUCACUUCUCCUCCAAAUUCGGCCCUACUUUUCCCCUCCAGGUUAAUUAUAUCUCUCUACAUCUUGUCACUCAAGCCUGAAACCUUGGACUCACCCUUGACAUUCCCUGCUCCCCGACCUAGCUAAUUACUAAGCAGGCUUUGGCUAUUCACACACUUUCUAAAUGUCUCCCUUUCCCCACUAAAUAUUUCCAAAAUAUUUUCUGAUGUCUUCCUCCAAUAGCCACUUAUUAAUUCAAAUAAUCAAAUUUCCUGUCUAGGUUACUUCAUUAGGUUUCUCCUGGCCUUUUCUUCAAUCAAAUGUCCAUGACACCAGAGUCACCUCCUAAAUGCAAGUUUUAUCACACUCCCUCUUUAAAAUUCUUGUGUGGUCCUACAUUGCUUUUGAUGAAUUCCUGAGAAUAAGUUUCUAAUUACUCAAGGCAAUUUGGCAUAUUCUGUGUUACAUUUGGCUUCUGAAGUCAUUUGUGCUCCUCUUUCCAAUGAUUUGUCUUAUUUUUCGUGACCUCGUAUAUUAUACCAAAGUCUUGCCCAAGUACAUGUUCUUAUGCUUUCUUAAGGGUCUCUAUUUGGUGAAAUGCCCAUAAGCCCUUAUAUACUCUCUCAUGCUCCAAACCUCGACCUGUGUUCUAUGGUCCUCAAGUAAGCCAUCACUUCCUGCACCAACUGCCUCUUAGCACCCUUCUCCAACCCAGCAUCCCCUCUUAACACCUGGGGGUAGAUGUCUCACUGUCAUAUUAUCAUAUUGUCUCUUUAUGAGUCUGCCCUUCUGUCAUGCAGAUAUCAGAUUUUUGUUUUGUUAAUCCUCACAUUUUAUCCCAAUUAAAGGUCCAGAAUACUUAGGAAACUUGUUACAAGGGCUAUGGAUUAAUGAAAUAGUUGCCAAUGUCACUAGGGGUAUAAAAGCAUAAAUGAAAACUCUGAUUAAAGUUAUGAUAAGAAAAUAAUUUCAAGUAUAAUCUGCACAUUUCACUAAGAAGAAAGAAUUUGAAAG